rnacentral:rRNA from 1 species
CCUACGGGGGGCUGCAGUAAGGAAUAUUGGUCAAUGGACGAAAGUCUGAACCAGCCAUCCCGCGUGCAGGAUGAAAGCCCUAUGGGUUGUAAACUGCUUUUAGCAGAGAAGAAAAGCUUUCAUUUAUGAGAGUCUGACGGUAUCUGCAGAAUAAGCACCGGCUAACUCCGUGCCAGCAGCCGCGGUAAUACGGAGGGUGCGAGCGUUAUCGGGAUUUACGGGGUUUAAAGGGUGCGAAGGCGGCAGUUUUGAAAUCUUGUCGCUUAACGAUACAAUUGCCAAUGAGACUGGUACUCGUGAAUUGGGUUGAGGUUAGCGGAAUGUGACAUGUAGCGGUGAAAUGCAUAGAUAUGUCAUGGAACACCAAUUGCGAAGGCAGCUAACUGGGCCUUGAUUGACGCUGAGGCACGAAAGCGUGGGUAGCGAACAGGAUUAGAUACCCUGGUAGUC